UCCCAGGCAGGCAGUGGCUGAUCAGGGAUAGCCAGGAAGCACCAGCAUACUGAAGAGCCUCCCCCAUGAAGCCAUGCUGUGGACCUGUACCCUCUUCUACCUCACCCUCUUCUGUGCAGGGGUCUCAUUGGAUAUCGUUUUGAAACCAGACACCGAAACCCUGACUGUUCUAGUUGGGGAGCCUGCCACCUUCCGAUGCAGCAUAACGGGAGGAGACUGGAAAAAUUAUCAAGUGAGCUGGUAUAAGAAAAAUGAAGAUAACUCCUUGACUUUAGUAUACAGACUAAGCAACAGUUCUAAUGCCAAUAUAAGCAGUAAUUUCAAAGGAAAUAUCGAUGCUUUAAAGGGCCAAUGUAUACUUGACAUUCAAAGAGCAACAAUAAAAGACACUGGGACCUACUACUGUGCGUCCGAUAUUGGUGGGAGCUCCUGGGAUACCCGACAGAUGUUUUUUGGAGCCGGCACCAAACUCCUCGUGGAACCACAAAGCCAGCCUCCUGCCAAACCAUCAGUUUUCAUCAUGCGAAAUGGGACGACGGUUGCUUGUCUGGUGAAGGAUUUCUAUCCUAAGGAUAUAAACAUAAAACUUGAAUCAACCAAGAAACUAGAAGAAUUUGACCCUGCUAUUGUCGUCUCCCCCAGUGGGAAGUACAGUGCUGUCAAGCUUGGUCGGUAUGAAGAUCCAAAUUCGGUGACCUGUUCAGUUGAACACAACAGUGAAGUCGUGAGCUCCACUAACUUUGAACCAAGGACAAAUUCUUCAGGUACCGUAAAACCAAAACCAACGGAAAAUGAAAACAUAAAGCUAACUCCAAAGAGCAUCAGUGAGCCCAAAGCCACAGUUCAUCACAGUUCACAGUUCACAGCCGGGAAUGUAAACAUGCUGUCCCUCACAGUGCUGGGGCUCCGGAUGGUGUUUGCCAAGAGUCUUGCCAUCAAUUUUCUCUUGACUGCCAAGUUAUUUUUCUUUUAAGGCUGACUGGCUUCAGAAGGCUGCCUUAUGAAACUCCCACAUUAUGUCUUCACAAAAGCCUACAGAGGAGCUGUCUCCUAGACUUCUGGCUUCUCGGUGAUUCAAGUUGACCGAUCCCAGUCUUGCUUAAGUGGCUGCUACCCAAACCAUCAAAGCAACAAACCCAGCUCAUUUUCCAGCUUUGUGGAAAGACACAAGUCCUAGGGAGUAGGGCGUUAUGGUCCUAACUGCUCUAUCUGCUGCUUUAUAAAGGGAUAUAGGACUCAUUUUUUUUUAUUAUUAUUUCUACAACAGAUACACUUUGAAAAUAGUGUUUUGUUCCCUUAACUUUCUUUGCCUUCAAAAGUAGAAAGUGGGAGCCAACAGAUUCCCAGCUCCAUACUCCCCGAGGAAAACAGACCCUGGGGGUUGGAGAGAAGAUGCCCUUCACCUAACAGGAAUGGCUCUGUUCAGCCCAGCACUAGGUUUGCCUCAAGCUGGCAUUCUCAUCCACAAAAGCACUUUCUGCUUUCCUUAGUACUUUACAAACAAAAUUACAUUUGACUUCUCAUGCAGCCAAUGGGGUUUCUAAAGCCUCAUCUAAAUACUCUCCAAGCUAUUAGCAAAGAUCAGGGUAAAAUACAGAGAAAAUUACUUUUAUCAAUUGACUUCACAAACAUGAAUUGACUCCUUCUAAGUUCCAGGCACCGAGCUGAGGGUGUAAAGAUGAACGAGAGGUGGGCCUGCUUUCAAGCGACUUACUGUGCAAGCACUUUUGGAGGGAGGGAGAGGAAUGAGACUCCUAGAUUUGGGCUGUAAAAAGAGUAUCUUUACUGGGUUUUGCCUGCCAAUAUAUGCACAGGGAAUUUGAUUUCAGUGGAUGCUGACUCUUGCCUGCCCCUUGUUGUUGAUGGUUUUCUGCCAUUCUCAGUGUUGUCUCUGUUGCAUUUAUUAAAGUGCAUCGAGUGUG